GAUGAACGCUGGCGGCGUGCCUAAUACAUGCAAGUCGAGCGAACAGACGAGGAGCUUGCUCCUCUGACGUUAGCGGCGGACGGGUGAGUAACACGUGGAUAACCUACCUAUAAGACUGGGAUAACUUCGGGAAACCGGAGCUAAUACCGGAUAAUAUAUUGAACCGCAUGGUUCAAUAGUGAAAGACGGUUUUGCUGUCACUUAUUGAUGGAUCCGCGCCGCAUUAGCUAGUUGGUAAGGUAACGGCCUACCAAGGCAACGAUGCGUAGCCGACCUGAGAGGGUGAUCGGCCACACUGGAACUGAGACACGGUCCAGACUCCUACGGGAGGCAGCAGUAGGGAAUCUUCCGCAAAGGGCGAAAGCCUGACGGAGCAACGCCGCGUGAGUGAUGAAGGUCUUCGGAUCGUAAAACUCUGUUAUUAGGGAAGAACAAAUGUGUAAGUAACUAUGCACGUCUUGACGGUACCUAAUCAGAAAGCCACGGCUAACUACGUG
rnacentral:rRNA from 1 species